GACGAACGCUGGCGGCGUGCUUAACACAUGCAAGUCGAACGGUAAGGCCCUUCGGGGUACACGAGUGGCGAACGGGUGAGUAACACGUGGGUGAUCUGCCCUGCACUUCGGGAUAAGCCUGGGAAACUGGGUCUAAUACCGGAUAGGACCCUGGGAUGCAUGUCCUGGGGUGGAAAGCUUUUGCGGUGUGGGAUGGGCCCGCGGCCUAUCAGCUUGUUGGGGGGGUGAUGGCCUACCAAGGCGACGACGGGUAGCCGGCCUGAGAGGGUGACCGGCCACAGUGGGACUGAGAUACGGCCCAGACUGCUACGGGAGGCAGGAGUGGGGAAUAUUGCACAAUGGGCGCAAGCCUGAUGCAGCGACGCCGCGUGAGGGAUGACGGCCUUCGGGUUGUAAACCUCUUUCAGCACCGACGAAGCGCAAGUGACGGUAGGUGCAGAAGAAGGACCGGCCAACUACGUGCCAGCAGCCGCGGUAA
rnacentral:rRNA from 1 species